rnacentral:rRNA from 1 species
GGUAGGACUACCCGCUGAACUUAAGCAUAUCAAUAAGCGGAGGAAAAG